GAGAAGAAGAACAAAUAAUGAGGAAGAAGAAAAGGAAGAGGAGGCUUCUUCUUCUUCACUCAAUCUAAAUCUCUUUUUAUCUCUUGCUGCUUCCUCUUAACCAAAGCCUACACAAUUUCACAACAGUUAUAACUCUAUCAUCUCCGUGUUUGGUUCUUAAAUACUCGAAGCUCAGACAUCAAACCAUCUCCUGCUGCAUAUUAAAUAUCGCCAUUUGAGAAAGAGAGGGAAUAGCUAUACAGGAGAAUAAACUCAAAUCAGGGGAAAGAAAACAGUUAUGUUGGUGCCAUGAUAGAAGCAUAUGUGGGAGGAUCAACUGCAAAAUGCUCAAAGUCAUCUUCAAUCAUCCUCAAAGUAAAACUAUCGCUUUACAUACUGUGAUAUUCACACUUAUUAUGCCAUUUUUAAUCU